UCAGUAACGGCGAGUGAAGCGGUAACAGCUCAAAUUUGAAAUCUGGGUCUUUCAGGCUCCGAGUUGUAAUUUGUAGAAGAUGCUUUGGGUGCGGUCCCGGUCUAAGUUCCUUGGAACAGGACGUCAUAGAGGGUGAGAAUCCCGUAUGUGAUCGGUGGCUUGCGCCCGUGUAAAGCUCUUUCGACGAGUCGGGUUGUUUGGGAAUGCAGCUCUAAAUGGGUGGUAAAUUUCAUCUAAAGCUAAAUAUUGGCCAGAGACCGAUAGCGCACAAGUAGAGUGAUCGAAAGAUGAAAAGCACUUUGGAAAGAGAGUUAAACAGUACGUGAAAUUGUUGAAAGGGAAGCGCUUGCAACCAGACUUGCGCGGGGUUGAUCAUCCGGGGUUCUCCCCGGUGCACUCGGCCUCGCUCAGGCCAGCAUCGGUUUCGGUGGUUGGAUAAAGGCCUUGGGAAUGUGACUUCUUUCGGGGAGUGUUAUAGCCCUCGGUGCAAUGCAGCCUACCGGGACCGAGGACCGCGCUUCGGCUAGGAUGCUGGCGUAAUGGUUGUAAGCGACCCGUCUUGAAACACGGACCAAGGAGUCUAACAUCUAUGCGAGUGUUUGGGCGUCAAACCCAUACGCGUAAUGAAAGUGAACGGAGGUGAGAACCCUUAAGGGUGCAUCAUCGACCGAUCCUGAUGUCUUCGGAUGGAUUUGAGUAAGAGCAUAGCUGUUGGGACCCGAAAGAUGGUGAACUAUGCCUGAAUAGGGUGAAGCCAGAGGAAACUCUGGUGGAGGCUCGCAGCGGUUCUGACGUGCAAAUCGAUCGUCAAAUUUGGGC
rnacentral:rRNA from 1 species